AGUGUUUAGUUCAAGUGAGAAGGUUCUAAUUUUUUUCUUAAUUUGAUUUGUUGAUUGACAUAGUUUAAAACGAUUAUCAUGCCAGCAUUAAUUUAUAGGUCAACAAAGUCUUACAAGAUGGUGAACCUGCAUCAUGUACAAAGUGUGGCGCUUACAGUCCUAUUGGUUAUUUGUUUAUUGCCAUCCUGUAAUUUGAUGAAAUUAGAAGAAGAUGAAAACGGUCAAUUUAAAGAAGAUGAAAACGGUUUUUAUUAUGCGGAUGGAAAGUGGUGUGGAAAGUGUCCUGCGGGAGAGUUCGUAUUCAAGGAUUGUAUAAGAAAUUUCACUAAAGCCCAGUGUAAAAGAUGUUCACGUGGGACAUUUUCAAUGUACUUGGAUAGAGCUAUAUCUUGCAAAGAUUGUAAAACAUGUGAAUUAAAUCAAGAUAAAAUUACAGACUGUACAACGAUGAGUGAUACUGUGUGCGUUUGUCGUGACAAUCUUUAUGAUGUACCCGAUUUGGGCUGUAUACCAAAACCGUCGACCUCUUCUACCCCUUCCACAUCUACAUCAUAUGUAUUUCCAGGAUGUCCUGAAGGAAUGUAUAGAGAUAACACUGCGAAUCUUAAUUGUUUACCAUGUUCAAAUUGCUCAACAGAGAUCCAACCUUGUAAUUCUACCAACGACGCCAUAUGUAAAAACAUAUCAAAUAAGAAUGAGGCUUCAUCCCAAAUAAAAAUACUGUAUGUAAUUUUUGUAUGUAUUGUAUUAUCCAUAAUGAUAUGUGGAGUUGUUUUUUACUGUACAAGACAAGGUAGAAACAAAAAAUCGAAAAGUUUCGGUGGUGAAGACGGAUCUAUAUGUCAAGUAGAAAUGGAGGCACUUAACAAUAGUGUUCAAAAUGUACAGUAAUUCGAUUCUGCAUACAACAGUUCCUGACAAUCCGAGAAUGGUAAGGGCCAAAAUCCUUUGUGGAAGACACGGCUGUCUAUCCAGUAUGAAAAAGGGCCGAUAGCCUGGAGAUCUCGUGUUCGAACCCGAUUUUGCUCAUGGAUAGAUGUGAACGCAAAAGGAGACCCUGAAAGUUGGAAUUGGAAAAAGGCGGACCCGGGGAAACACCACUGUUUGGCCAAAAUGUCCCCCAUAGUACAGCGUAUUCUAUUUUUGCUGUUUCUUUAAGAAGUUUAUAAUUCGACGAGAUACAUUGUAGUUCUAUGUUGCCUGAAAUGAAUGAAACUAUAGUGCGCAUGGGUGUGUUUUACGUGGAAGCCAAAAUAUUAAAUACCUGUACAUCAAAAUAGACGUACUGAGCUAUUACACAAAGAUGGGACAUGAUAAUCCAGUCAAUAUAAAUUCAAAUAUGAUUUCUCUUUUUUGCGAUCAAUCUGGUGGUGAAAUCGUAUUCGGGUGCCAUUUUACACGUUUGUCACAAAUCAUUAGUUUAUUGGAAACGGAAGAGACUUAUGGACCAGGGGCCUGUUUCACGAAAUUUUAACUAAGUUAAAAUCCAAAUUUUAGUAAUUUGAUUGGAUAAUAUUAGAUUGAUUUCAGUGCUUAGCCAAUCAAAAUCGAAGUAUCUACUAAAAUUUGGAUUUUAUCUUUAGUUAAAAUUUCGUAAAACAGGACCCAGAGAAACCGCAACCCUUGAACCGUGUGUGUUCUGUGUAAUCAAUCGCAUAUAACUGGACUGUGUUAGGAAUAUUCUUGCGGACCAGAGAAACCGCAACCCUUGAACCGUGUGUGUUCUGUGUAAUCAAUUGCAUAUAACUGGACUGUGUUAUGAAUAUUCCAAGAACAUCACCAUAAACUGUGGACAUUACAGUAUAUUAAAGCUGUAAAUUAUGGUUGGCAAAAAGGCGACUACAACAGCUACGUUAUGCGUUGGCCUAUUUACAGGUAAAGCGUCUAUUAAUUUACCCAUCUUAUAGACAGUGUAGCAUUACUGCCUCGCAAAACUAAAUGCCAAGAUAAACUUGCCACGCAACAUCUUCCUCGCAGAUGAGCCAACUUAAAAAUAGUAUCAAGUGUUUCGAAAAAGAUAGUAUACCCUUCCCCAUGCACGAUACGCCAUCCUUCAGAAAGUGAGUAUAUUUCUCACAACCGGGGCACAAAACUAGAGGCCUUGUUUGGAUAGAAUUACCAUUAGAUGAAAGAACUGUCCUUCAAAAUAAUGCAGGCCUAGCAACCCUUUGCUUAUUUUUAAGAACUCAAUACCGGGACCAGAAAGCGAGUCUUACUUUGUUUGUAGCCACACAAGACAAUGCUUACCCCUUUCGGAACACCUGAUACCGCUUCCAUAUUGUAGGUCAAUUUGCUUUUGGUUUAUUCAGCCGAAUUCGUGCAUUGGGCUCUUCAUUUUGACUAUUAUAACGAUUGACUUUUUAUACGCCCACAUUUUGAUGUUGACGUAUAUUGUCGUCACCCCUGUCCUUUCGGACGUCCGUCCCUCUGUCCGUUCACAAUUUGUUUAUGGACACUCUACAGGUCACAAUUCUUAUCCGAUUUUGACGAAACUUGAAAUAUAGGUUUAUUUCCAAAGGAUCUCGAUUCCUUUCGAUAUUGGAAUGUAUCGGAUCGAAACUUUUGAUGAAAAUUGAAUGCAUAUUUAUAUCACAAAGAUCUUGGUUCCGUUUGAUAUUUGCGUAUAUCGGAACUAACUUCCUGAAUUAUGGCACCGGAUUGUACGAAAAGUCGCUAUUUUUAUUAGCUUGGAGAUCCUCUAGAGGUCACAAUUUUUAUCCUAUUUUAAAAAACGUUUAAAUGUAUCACCGUUACACUCAAAUGACAAUUGAGUUCAAAUUUUGUGAAAAUCGGACCGAAACUGCCUGACAAAAUGGCCGCUCCUUGUAACAAAUAGCGACCCUAUAGAAGUCACAAUUUUUAUUCGAUUUUGAUGAAACUUAAAAUAUAUCCUUAUAUCACAAAGAUCUCCGUCCAUUUUGAUAUUCGCGCAUUUCAGACCAUAACCUCCUGGAUUAUGGCCCAUGAUUGUACGAAAAAUUGCUCUUUUAUUUUUAGCUUGUUCUCUAACCUACCCUUGCAAAAUGUGGGCGUAUCUUUUUGCAUUAAUGACCCUUAAAGACGAGUAGCAAACUUUCUUCUGUGCUUAAUUAUGUACCAAAGUAUACACAUAGACAUGUCUUCUUUCAUUCUAGACUGUAUCAAGGAAGGGCCGUCUGAACACCGCCUGUUGCACACAAGAUAAAGGUGUUGUACAAUCCGUAGUCCCAGACAGGAUAGUGUAUUAAAGCGCUGAUCUUGAACUAAAAUAAAACCAAGUACGAACAAUCCAAACCAUUAGCCAAAUUCGAAGUCAUAGAAUACACGACUCCUGUACUGAUUAUAAAAUGUUUAUGUGUUAAAUAUAGGAUAUUAGGUUAUAGAAGUCUAAUUCGUGUUUUUAAUUUCUAACAUAAUGGAAUAUAUUGAGUUAUUAAUACAAGUUUAGCUCCUUAAAGUAUAAUUACUAAUUAUGAUACGUAUUAUGUUUAUAUAGACUCUUAGAUAAUUUAUUGUGUAUUUUUCGAAUUGUGUAUAUUAUGAUGCGUAUGAUCAUAUAAUCGGCGAAUCCAGAAAAUUUUGCAGGGGCGGGUUUGUCAGAUUCCUGCUCAGGACAUUUGACAAUGCAGAUGCCAUCAUCGUCUCCAAAUUACGUAAGCAUACGUACAUACACUGAACUGUUUGACGUCAAUUUUAUAAUGACUUAAUAAGAUAACAUUGUGAUCCAAUUUCAUUGAUGCAAAGCAUUAAUUGUGAUAUCACUCGUGUCUAUAUCAUCAUCUUGCCUUUGAAUGCCCAUCCCAUCCCACCAUCUGAUGAUAAAGCACGCUACAUUUUGUGAUAAAUAGUGUUGUUUUACAAUUUAUUUUAUGUAGCUGAGCACCCCCCCCCCUCUGCAUCCGCCCCUGCAUAUAUUUAAAUAAUUUGAUAUCAUUGUACAUGUAUAAUAAUAUGUUGCCCUUGAUGUGUAUUAUAAAUUCACUUGAUAAUAUAUUUACCAGCACAUUUGUUUUAUUUGUAAAUAAACUAUUUUUAAAAAAUAAAAAACAAA